rnacentral:rRNA from 1 species
UACGGGAGGCAGCAGGGGGAAUAUUGCACAAUGGGCGCAAGCCUGAUGCAGCCAUGCCGCGUGUAUGAAGAAGGCCUUCGGGUUGUAAAGUACUUUCAGUCGUGAGGAAGGUGUUAAGGUUAAUAACCUUAGCAAUUGACGUUAGCGACAGAAGAAGCACCGGCUAACUCCGUGCCAGCAGCCGCGGUAAUACGGAGGGUGCGAGCGUUAAUCGGAAUUACUGGGCGUAAAGGGCACGCAGGCGGUUAAUUAAGUUGGAUGUGAAAUCCCCGGGCUUAACCUGGGAAUGGCAUUCAAGACUGGUUAGCUAGAGUCUUGUAGAGGGGGGUAGAAUUCCAUGUGUAGCGGUGAAAUGCGUAGAGAUGUGGAGGAAUACCGGUGGCGAAGGCGGCCCCUGGACAAAGACUGACGCUCAUGUGCGAAAGCGUGGGGAGCAAACGAGGGAUUAGAUACC